rnacentral:lncRNA from 1 species
CAUGCCCGUGCUGCUGGCCACUGCACCAGGCUUCCUUCCUUGCUAAUAUAUGUCACAAUAAAUUAUAAACCUUACCUGCUUCAGUUCUGGCCCACUUUAAAAAUAAAACAGGAUUCGCUCACGUACGGAAUCGAACCUGCGCCCUCUCCAUAUGUCCAGCACGCUGCUGCCACUGCGCCACAGGCGCUCUUUAUAUUAAAUUAUACCCGC